UCUCUAAGCUCCCCUUGAAACUCCUCUCCCUCUCUGGUCAUCCUUCCCCUAAGCUCCAGGAAUCUUCCCUAUCCCAAAGCUCUCUGCUAUCACUCCUCACCUAUACCCGAUCUCCCCUCUCUGUUUUCUCUCCAGUGUUUUUCCACUCCUCUCUUUUUCUCACCUUUUUUUCCUCUAGUGCAGCUGCCCUCUCUCUCCCCAAAGUAACCAA
rnacentral:lncRNA from 1 species